GUGCGAAUGGAAAUAACAUGCGCUAUUCUCAGUCAAUUGAAACAACCAACGCAUGUUUUAUGUCUCUCUCUCAACUUCUUGGUUUGAUGGUCUUCUACCCAAAUUAAAAAAUUCGAAGUGGUAACCGCCAAAAUGAAUCUCGAGUCUCCAAGUCACUCCCAAUCAUCGGUGAUUAGAGGAAAGGAAGGAGUUCAGUGACAGGGUUUAUGAGGUUCUUCACAGGCUAUGCAUAGCUUCUCCAUUGGUCGUGUAAGCGCCUCCACGGGUAAGGUUUCUGAAAUCACGGGCCAUGUUGCUCGCAUCCUUCCCUUUGGAGAUUUCUCUCUUACUAUUGUUGCAAGAGCUGUGUGACUUUUUUCGUUGUCCGUAGAAAGUCUAUAAUAACAAGUAUUACUCACUGUCACUGUCAAGUAUGAUUAUGCAGAGGUUAGCAUAGGAGGCGCAUCGUAAUUUCAAAAAGACAAUUGUGUAGCAAGAAGGAUGCAAAGACCAGGUGGAAUAAGAAGUAGACUUGGGCUGUGGGUUUUAGAGUGUUCGAUGUACUAACUUUUAUUUGUAGGUUCAGCUUAGUUGUUUUAUUAUUUAUUUGUGUUUUUGAAAAUUUUGGAUAAUUGGUAUUAGAGUAUUACGUUGGUGUA